UGAAUACGAGAUGCUACGGCAUUGAAGCAGUGUAUGUCAGACUUCCAAGAAAAGCUCGCAAUGUCAUAAACAAUAAAUGCCUGUACCAUAACCGACACAGGUGGGUAGGUAGAGUAUACUAAGGGGCGCGAGAUAACUCUCUCUAAGGAACUCGGCAAAAUGACUCCGUAACUUCGGGAGAAGGAGUGCCUUAUUUUAUAAGGUUGCAAUAACAAGAUCCAAGCAACUGUUUACCAAAAACACAGGUCUCCGCUAAGUCGAAAGACGAUGUAUGGGGGCUGACGCCUGCCCAGUGCCAGAAGGUUAAAGAAGUUGGUUAGCUUCGGCGAAGCUGAUGACUGAAGCCCUGGUGAACGGCGGCCGUAACGAUAACGGUCCUAAGGUAGCGAAAUUCCUUGUCGGGUAAGUUCCGACCCGCACGAAAGGCGUAAUGAUUUGGAUACUGUCUCGGAGAGGGGCUCGGUGAAAUAGACUUGUCUGUGAAGAUGCGGACUACCUGCACCUGGACAGAAAGACCCUAUGAAGCUUUACUGUAACUUGAGAUUGAAAUUGGACUUUAUCUGCGCAGUAUAGGUGGGAGACGUUGAGAAUAUUCUUGCGGGAAUAUUGGAGUCAUCAGUGAGAUACCACUCUUGUAAUGUUAGAUUUCUAACUUUGUAUCAUUAUCUGGUCAAAGGACAGUUUCAGGCGGGCAGUUUGACUGGGGCGGUCGCCUCCUAAACGGUAACGGAGGCGCACAAAGGUUUCCUCUGAACGUGUAGAAAUCGUAUCUAGAGUGUAAAGGCAUAAGGAAGCUUGACUGUGAGACCUACAAGUCGAGCAGGGACGAAAGUCGGUCUUAGUGAUCUGACGGUGCUGAGUGGAAAGGCCGUCACUCAACGGAUAAAAGUUACUCUAGGAUAACAGGCUGAUCUCCCCCAAGAGUUCACAUCGACGGGGAGGUUUGGCACCUCGAUGUCGGCUCAUCGCAUCCUGGGGCGGUAGUACGUCCCAAGGGUUGGGCUGUUCGCCCAUGAAAGCGGUACGCGAGCUGGGUUCAGAACGUCGUGAGACAGUUCGGUCCAUAUCCGGUGUAGGCGUUAGAAUAUUGAGAGGAGCCUUCUUUAGUACGAGAGGACCGAGAAGGACAUACCUCUGGUGUACCAGUUAUCGUGCCAACGGUAAACGCUGGGUAGCUAUGUAUGUAGUGGAUAACCGCUGAAAGCAUCUAAGUGGGAAGCCCACCUCAAGAUAAG
rnacentral:rRNA from 1 species